rnacentral:rRNA from 1 species
UACGUAGGGGGAUAGCGUUGUCCGGAAUCAUUGGGCGUAAAGAGCGUGUAGGCGGUCCGGUAAGUCCGCUGUGAAAGUCGGGGGCUCAACCCUCGAAUGCCGGUGGAUACUGUCGGGCUAGAGUGCGGAAGAGGCGAGUGGAAUUCCCGGUGUAGCGGUGAAAUGCGCAGAUAUCGGGAGGAACACCAAUGGCGAAGGCAGCUCGCUGGGACGGUACUGACGCUGAGACGCGAAAGCGUGGGGAGCAAACAGG